GACGAACGCUGGCGGCGUGCUUAACACAUGCAAGUCGAACGGAAAGGCCCUGCUUUUGUGGGGUGCUCGAGUGGCGAACGGGUGAGUAAAACGUGAGUAACCUGCCCUUGACUUUGGGAUAACUUCAGGAAACUGGGGCUAAUACCGGAUAGGAGCUCCUGCUGCAUGGUGGGGGUUGGAAAGUUUCGGCGGUUGGGGAUGGACUCGCGGCUUAUCAGCUUGUUGGUGGGGUAGUGGCUUACAAAGGCUUUGACGGGUAGCCGGCCUGAGAGGGUGACCGGCCACAUUGGGACUGAGAUACGGACCAGACUCCUACGGGAGGCAGCAGUGGGGAAUAUUGCACAGUGGGCGGAAGCCUGAUGCAGCAACGCCGCGUGCGGGAUGACGGCCUUCGGGGUGUAAACCGCUUUCGCCUGUGACGAAGCGUGAGUGACGGUAAUGGGUAAAGAAGCACCGGCUAACUACGUG
rnacentral:rRNA from 1 species